rnacentral:misc_RNA from 1 species
AAGUCGUAACAAGGUUUCCGUAGGUGAACCUGCGGAAGGAUCAUUACAGUGCUCGUCGGGACGCCACGCCUCCGGGCGUCGGUGCCUCGCACCUGCCCCACCCGUGUUUACCUUUCCUUUUGUUGCUUCGGCGGGCCCGCUCAGGGGCGUACCCACAUGUCGGGUGCGCCCGAGGGCGGACCGGGGGUUUCUCCCCUGGCCAGCGCCCGUCAGAGGACCCUUUGAACCCUUUGUGAAUACACGGUGACAAGUCUGAGUUUGAUCUUGAAAUACAGUCAAAACUUUCAACAACGGAUCUCUUGGUUCUG